UUUUAUUUGUUCACACAGACCAAUUAACACUCAAUGGCUGUCUCACUUUUUUUCUUUCAAGUCACAUGAGAAAGGAGUCACGAGACUCGGUCAAAAAUUUAUAGCCGCGGUUAAAUGGAAUUUCUGUUGAUGGAUUGUCUCGGUGUAAUCGUUUUACUCGAUUUAUCGGAGAUUCGGAUGACUGAUAUCAAUACCCUGAUAUCGAUACAAUCAUGUGAUGGUGUUCUUCAAGGGGAGGUCUACCGGUCUUCACCUGUGAACUCUUUAGCUAUGUGGAGAUUUUCCAUGGGUUUUACUAAAAAAUUUCCAGUGUCACAGAUAUUGUUUGUGUACAUGGCCAUUGACUAGUUGCGUCAUGUUCUAGCUCAUUAUCACUUGUGUAACGUCGGAUUCACUGGGCAUGAGCAUGUGGAGAUUUUUAUGGACAUCUGGGUGUAGUCUGUCCUGAAAUAUUGGGCAAUUUGAUAAAACUUCGUCUCGGAGCGGAUGCCUCAUGUCUUCAGGUGUGGAAAUGGCUUUUCUUUAAAGGAUUGAGCAUUUGUUGCAGAAUAAUUUGUUGAAGAAUAAUUUACGAAAGAUAACGAGAGGUCUCAAUUAGAAAUUUCGAGAAUCCGUGCGGCCUGGAAGGAUUUCCUGGAGUAAAUAAAACAGGUAAAGGGGGAAAUGAGAGUAAAUAGUGUCCAGUUUACAUGGGGCAAUCCCAGAUGUUGACGUUAAUUAGUCACGAGGAUUUGACCUAGAGUUUUUAGGAUGGGCUCUGAUAAUUCAAGAUGUACUCGAAAAGCUCGUGACGUUCGAGUUCCUAUUCUAUUUGUACCAGUUUAUAUCUAUCACACUCGAUGGAGAAAUAUAAUCCUUGGUACUAUAAAAAUACGUAAAUAAUUGAUACCAGUUAUCUUCACAGCAAUACGAUAAUCUGUCAUGUGAGGUGUUGGUAAGGAUUGGGUUUUCCUGGUAAAUCGGAAGUUUACUUGACCCAGAAUAAUUUACGUUGAAGCUAGUAUCGAAAAUUCUUAUUCUCUAUCAGGUAUCCGCCGCAUGAAUGAACUCACACGUUCACACAUGAAUUUAUUCUCUGGAAAAUCUUUAGACAUUUCAUCGAAAAGUAUCCAGACGGAAAACUCGAUGUCUACUAUUUUAAUUUUCCUAUAAUUUCCUCUGGAAAUUAAUUCGUUGUUGCAUUCAAUCGGAAAAUACCACAAUUUAACUGUAAAUACUUGUUCCGAGGUGAAUUUAUUCUCUGGAAAAUCUAGGAAUGGAGAAUUUUAUGGGGAUAUAGCCGGAAAACAUUCUAUUGUAGAUUUUAUUUAAAUUUGCAAUAAUUUUCGACGGGAGUGGACAGAUGUUGCUUCCAGUUAUCUGUGGGAAUUAUUUUAUCGUUUUAGUGGAUGGGAAAAUGAUAUCAUUUAACUGAAAUCACGGGUUUGACUUUCAAUAUUUAUCUUUGACAUUCGAACCUCGUGGUCUCGUGAUGUUCAGCCGCUAAUUUUUCUCGCUUCAAAGUGCAAAAUACUCGUGUUGAAUUUCGACAAUUUAUUUAUAAAUUCAUUCUCUCUGGGCAAAAAAUUUACAUGGGGCAUACGGUGUGAGGAACGUUAAACGCCUUAUGCCAACUCCUAUUUCAUUUCUGGGGAAAGAAUUUAAAUUCGAGAGGAGCCAAAUAUAUCUUGCACUUGUCUUCUUAAACUUCUCAAUUUUUCCGAAUUUUUCAUUCCAAA